ACAGGAAGAGGAGCUGCACCC
rnacentral:siRNA from 1 species